rnacentral:rRNA from 1 species
CGGCUCAGUAACACGUGGAUAACCUACCCUUGAGACGGGGAUAAACCCGGGAAACUGGGUAUAAUACCCGAUAGAUCUCGACUGCUGGAAUGCAUCGAGCUUGAAAGCUCCGGCGCUCAAGGAUGGGUCUGCGGCCUAUCAGGUAGUAGUGGGUGUAGCGUACCUACUAGCCUACGACGGGUACGGGUUGUGAGAGCAAGAGCCCGGAGAUGGAUUCUGAGACACGAAUCCAGGCCCUACGGGGUGCAGCAGGCGCGAAAACUUUACAAUGCUGGAAACAGCGAUAAGGGGACCUCGAGUGCCAGGUUACAAAUCUGGCUGUCGUGAUGCCUAAAAAGCAUUGCAUAGCAAGGGCCGGGCAAGACCGGUGCCAGCCGCCGCGGUAACACCGGCGGCUCGAGUGGUAACCGUUAUUAUUGGGUCUAAAGGGUCUGUAGCCGGCCGGAUAAGUCUCUUGGGAAAUCUGGCAGCUUAACUGUCAGGCUUUCAGGAGAUACUGUCUGGCUCGAGGCCGGGAGAGGUGAGAGGUACUUCAGGGGUAGGGGUGAAAUCUUGUAAUCCUUGAAGGACCACCAGUGGCGAAGGCGUCUCACCAGAACGGACCUGACGGCAAGGGACGAAAGCUAGGGGCACGAACCGGAUUAGAUACCCGGGUAGUCCUAGCCGUAAACGAUACUCGCUAGGU